GGUGGGGUUUCGCUCUGCUCUAAUCAUGACUUGCCACCUGGCCUUGGCCCCCUGUUGCCACCCUGUUGACCCAGAUGACAUACCCUCGGGGCAGCUGCUUACAGACUCUACCACCUCGACUUAAAGAUGGUUAAAAAUCCCCCUGCAGCUUGGAACGAGCUCCAUGUUGGAUUUUUUUACCCAGUGAGAAGCGAAGAUACUGAAUAUCUCAUUCAUGGUAGAGAGGAACUACAGGAAGAAGUGUCGGUGGAUCUGGACCUGAAGAACCAUCAUAUCGGCUUUGAUCUGUCAAUCAAACACAGAGUUUAAAACGGCACAGAAUUCCACAGUGUCUCCUUACUUCCUUCUUUAGGUCGCUACAGAGUAAUGUAAGCGUAUAGCCACCAAUUUAGCAUUGUGCAAAUUAACUGCAUGUCUGAAUCAUCACAUAUUUAAUUACAGUAACAUCUUUCGUAUGUAAAGUUUCAUAAAAUAGAAGCAAAUCAGGUUAUUUUAACCAUUAUGAAAAUUAAUCACAUUUUCACAUGAUGAACCAAAUGAAUCACACGUGAAAAUGAACGAAUCGCAUGUGAAAAUAAGUGAAUCACAUUUAAAAAUAAACGAAUCACACGUGAAAAUUAAUGAAUCAUGUGAAAAUGAAUGAAUCACAUGUGAAAAUGAAUGAAUCACAUGUGAAAAUAAACGAAUCACGUGACAAUAAUCGAAUCACGUGAAAAAAAAAACGAAUCACGUGAAAAUAAAUGAAUUGUAACAAUCACAUGGCAAUAAAAACACAUGUGAAAAGUGAAAGAGGUGUGAAACACAACAUGUGAAGAGUCUAAAAACCACAUGUGUAAAGUAAAGUGACUUUUCUGUAAGGGAAAUUAAACAAAUCAUCUGAAUUUAUUCUAACAUCACACUUUUCGCUUUAGAAAGAAAUAACUUCAUAAAAAAAGCGAUUUGUCUUUAAGAUUUUGCCUUUUUAGCUCUGAGAUGUCCUUUUUGUCCUUAUGUUUAUAGAUGACAGCGUGGAGACGCUUCUGUGGCUGCGGAUUUAGUGCUAAACUGGUAGCUAUAAGGUUAGGGUUAGGGUGGCUGGGUAAUCAGGUACACUGAGUACAGCUGGGCCUCAAAUAAAAUCUGUGUGUGUA